GGGCGCAUAGCUCAGCUGGGAGAGCACUUGCCUUACAAGCAAGGGGUCAUAGGUUCAAGUCCUAUUGCGCCCACCA
rnacentral:tRNA from 1 species